ACACGACUACAUUAGAUACCCCCGGUAGUCCCAGCCCUAAACGAUGCGCGUUAGGUGUAUCGGUGACCACGAGUCACCGAGGUGCCGAAGGGAAACCGUGAAACGUGCCGCCUGGGAAGUACGGUCGCAAGGCUGAAACUUAAAGGAAUUGGCGGGGGAGCACAACACGGGUGGAGCUUGCGGUUUAAUUGGAUUCAACGCCGGAAAUCUUACCGGGACCGACAGCAACAUGAAGGCCGAGCUGAAGACUUUGCCGGAUUAGCUG
rnacentral:rRNA from 1 species